rnacentral:rRNA from 1 species
UCCAGAGGGGGCAAGCGUUGCUCGGAAUCACUGGGCGUAAAGAGCUCGUAGGCGGCUUGUCACGUCGGGUGUGAAAGCCCGGGGCUUAACCCCGGGUCUGCAUUCGAUACGGGCUAGCUAGAGUGUGGUAGGGGAGAUCGGAAUUCCUGGUGUAGCGGUGAAAUGCGCAGAUAUCAGGAGGAACACCGGUGGCGAAGGCGGAUCUCUGGGCCAUUACUGACGCUGAGGAGCGAAAGCGUGGGGAGCGAACAGG